CUACGGAGGGUGCAAGCGUUACUCGGAAUCACUGGGCGUAAAGCGCGCGCAGGCGGUCUUUUAAGUUGGAUGUGAAAGCCUACGGCUCAACCGUAGAACUGCAUCCAAAACUAUUAGACUAGAGUGUGGGAGAGGAAGAUGGAAUUAGUUGUGUAGGGGUAAAAUCCGUAGAGAUAACUGGGAAUACCAAAAGCGAAGGCAAUCUUCUGGAACACUACUGACGCUGAGGCGCGAAAGCGUGGGGAGCAAACAGGAUUAGAUACCCUAGUAGUCC
rnacentral:rRNA from 1 species